GAACUUCAUAUUAUUAAUUAAUGUAAUAAUGGUAAGUUGUACGCAAUAAUAUAAAUAUGUUAUAAUUAUUUCUAGAACCACUGACGGAAAAAAAGUAUAAAGUUUAUCAUAAGCAUUACUAAAUAAAAUAAAUUUAAUAUUGCUACAAAAUCGGUCAAACGACAAAAAUCAGAAUGAGGCAGUUGAAGAAUCAACUUUUCCUGAUUUUCCACUGACAACAAUAGAACAACUGAAAAAUUUCGAUGCUGUUUUGACCGGUGCAGAUCAAAUUCAAAGAGACUUAAUUCGACGAAUUCUGAGAAUUGGGGGAAAGAAUUCGGGGCAGUUUACUCAAAAUGUAAUGCGGUGGCUAAUUUCUGAUAGACUUGCAUUGCAAUUGUCGUGGUCGGGACAACGAAAAACAAUAAAGUUUAAAGACUUCAAAUUAUGCACAGUCAUUAUCGAAACAAUCGCUGCAAAUACUUCCGACACGGUGAACAAUAUUGGACAAGUAAUAAAGAUUUGGCUACAACAUGCCAGUGAUAGAAUAAAACAAAAAGAAAAAUAAUAUUUCAAGGUAUACAUGCGCGCGCGCGCACACACGCACACACGCACACAC